UACGUAGGGUGCAAGCGUUAAUCGGAAUUACUGGGCGUAAAGCGUGCGCAGGCGGUGAUGUAAGACAGAUGUGAAAUCCCCGGGCUCAACCUGGGACCUGCAUUUGUGACUGCAUCGCUAGAGUACGGUAGAGGGGGAUGGAAUUCCGCGUGUAGCAGUGAAAUGCGUAGAUAUCGGGAGGAACACCAGCGGCGAAGGCGGCACUCUGGGCUGGUACUGACGCUGAGGUGCGAAAGCGUGGGGAGCAAACAGG
rnacentral:rRNA from 1 species